GACGAACGCUGGCGGCGUGCCUAACACAUGCAAGUCGAACGGGGUGAAGCCCUUCGGGACUUUACUUAGUGGCGAACGGGUGAGUAACGCGUGAGGAACCUGCCUUUCAGUGGGGGACAACAGUUGGAAACGACUGCUAAUACCGCAUAACACUUUUUGGGGACAUCCCUGAAAAGUCAAAGCUUUAUGUGCUGAAAGAUGGCCUCGCGUCUGAUUAGCUGGUUGGCGGGUAACGGCCCACCAAGGCGACGAUCAGUAGCCGGUCUGAGAGGAUGAACGGCCUCAUUGGGACUGAGAUACGGCCCAGACUCCUACGGGAGGCAGCAGUGGGGAAUAUUGGGCAAUGGGGGAAACCCUGACCCAGCAACGCCGCGUGAAGGAAGAAGGCCCUCGGGUUGUAAACUCUUUUACCUAGGGACGAAGGACGUGACGGUACCUGGAGAAAAAGACAACGGCUAACUACGUG
rnacentral:rRNA from 1 species